UCCGCCUCAAUACGCCUCACUGUAAUCUCUCUGAUGUUCAUUUAAUAGCUUAGUCUGUAUGUUUUGAUUAUGAAUUGUUGAUCAGCCCCAUUGUUACUUGAAAAUGGAAUUAUGAUUUUCGUGAUUCUCAUUGUAUGUAUCCUGCAUAUUCAGAACUAUUCAUUUGUCUUGAUCAGAAGAACUAUUCAUUUGUCAUGUAAGUCAUUUACAUGGACUAAAUUCUGGAAUCUGCCAUGAAGGAUUAAUGUAUGUUUGGUUGUUAUCUCAUUGUCAUGAACUUAUCAGAAACCUUCUUAGUCAGUUGUUGUGUCUUGGUUUAAGUUAGUGGAAGCAUCAAACUAAGCAGUUGUUUUCUAUAGCAAAUGCUGUUCACAUGUGCAUAUUGCCGAUGGAGAAUAUAAAAAUGCAAUUGAAAGUGGUAGUCGAAAUGAAUCACCUCAUUGUUCAGAAACUAUCCAUGCCAAACCUGAUGGUAAGUGAAUCACCUCAUUUUUCUUGUGGUCAAAGGAGUUCAGUAAAAAUAGUCAUUAUUCAGAAACUUGUUACCUGGAUCUGCAAGCUUUCUCAAAUGUUGGGAGAGUUCUAUUUAUCUUGUUAAUGUCCAUAAGCAUGAAAUUCACAAUGGGCAGCUGAGCUUUAGGGGAAACGUGUACUUGAGUUUCUCAACUAGGUGUCGUGUACUGUGGAAAUGAUCUACCUGUAUGUUGACUGUUACAGCACAAUUGCGGCUACGGACUAUCGGGGAUCUUAGCUUCCUUAAAGGGAGUUUCAGAGGUGCGUUUUCAGGAUCCGAAUGCGGAAACAGUAAGAUGUUCAACCAUACAUGAGUGUGCUUGCAAUCUCAUCCUUUAUUUUCUUGCAAAUCUAAUUACAGGCUACCAUAAUCUAAUUUCAAUGGGCUUGAUGUACACUGUAGUGAUUUAUUUUGUAUAUACUUGGGGGUUGAAUUUAUCAAUCAGGCACCAGUUUCUGUGAUAACUAACAUUAUUUAUGUUUCCAUUCCGUCAUUAACUACACCCAACCUAAUUGUUGCUACUUUUCCACCUCCGUGGGAAGGACAGUGAGCCAGUUACCUUGCAGGCUACAACCAGGAUUCAGACCAAUGAUUCUGUUGUUGAGUAGGAUUUUGACAUCUUGAGUUUGCACUUAAAGUGUGGUUAGUCGCACACUUAAUGCCUACUUCCACAGCUGCAUCAAUUUUCCAUUUGUUUUAUUCUGAUCCAGUUAGAUCUCAAGGUGCAUCUUUUCAGUCUGAUGAUAACAAUGGCAUUGAAAUAUAUUUAAGCUUUAUUCAGUACCCAACACUAGCUCAGUUGCAUUAACUCCGUAAACAGUCAUUACUACUAAUAGUCUAAAAUGGUUAUUGAUGUCUCAUUCUUUGUUUCUCACUAGCAUUUUUAAUUUCCCCAUACUUGGCAUCUUGAGAGAUCCUAGUGAAUAUUGCUCAGUUAAUGCUUUGCUCGUUUUUUGUCAACUGACAGCUCUCAUGUGAAAUAUCUUUUGUAGCUCUCCGAAGAGAUACAGAACAACAGCUUUUCACUAUUUUAGAACCUUAGGUCAUCAAUGGCUUGCAUAUAAAACCUCUGGUACAUCUGGUAAAGUAUCCUUAACUCACAGUGUCAUCAGCUGGACAUGCUUUGCUUGCUUUCAUACAUGGUCAGCUUCCAGGGGAAAAAGCUUUUGAAGCUGUCGGAGGAGAUACCCAAUAAUAGCCUUUCCCUGUUUUAAACCCAUAAGUCAUUUUGGCAUAUAUAGCCUCUGGUGCUUCUGGUCACUGUAGUAAUACUGUCAUUUCUUGAUGUUGUCAAAGAAUAAUAGGGUCUCUAGGGAUGAAGAUUCUGAUGUUGACUAUUUCCUAAGAAGUGAAGCAAGUCUGUGUUUGAUAAUCUCCCUGCUAGGAUUCAAUUGGCUUUACAUGAUCUAAAUCAAGUUCAAAUUGAGUUUGACAAUGACCCAUCUUAUUUUUCUAGAAAAAAUUCUAGUGUUUUAUGUUUUAACUGCUAUGACCAAGACAAUGCAGCUGGUAUACAGGUCAAUGUAACCUUUCCCAGCAACUCCAACCAUGAUAUGUAAAAAUGUACAAAACCAGUAGUAACUCUACCGUGUACAUUGUUUCUUCCUAUGCCGGUAAAAGAGAGAUGUCCAGUAGCGGAUCGGUAAUGAAGCAACUCCAACAAUGCUGAAUUCCCUCAUCUACAAACUCCCAUAGUACAGAUUAAGGACGACCGGAAUCAGUAAAAAAGAUUUUAAGCUUACACACCACUGGAUGGUAGUGUAGGGGAUUACAAACCAAAACCUCCAAGGAACAGGUCCAAG